rnacentral:rRNA from 1 species
GAUGAACGCUGGCGGCGUGCUUAACACAUGCAAGUCGAACGAUGAAGCCCAGCUUGCUGGGUGGGUUAGUGGCGAACGGGUGAGUAACACGUGAGUAACCUGCCCUUAACUCUGGGAUAAGCCUGGGAAACUGGGUCUAAUACCGGAUAGGAGCGCCUACCGCAUGGGGGGGGGUGGAAAGAUUUAUCGGUUUUGGAUGGACUCGCGGCCUAUCAGCUUGUUGGUGGGGUAAUGGCUCACCAAGGCGACGACGGGUAGCCGGCCUGAGAGGGUGACCGGCCACACUGGGACUGAGACACGGCCCAGACUCCUACGGGAGGCAGCAGUGGGGAAUAUUGCACAAUGGGCGAAAGCCUGAUGCAGCGACGCCGCGUGAGGGAUGACGGCCUUCGGGUUGUAAACCUCUUUCAGUAGGGAAGAAGCGAAAGUGACGGUACCUGCAGAAGAAGCACCGGCUAACUACGUG